rnacentral:rRNA from 1 species
AAACUGGGAUUAGAUACCCCACUAUGCCUAGCCUUAAACACAAAUAGUUAUGUAAACAAGACUGUUCGCCAGAGUACUACCGGCAAUAGCUUAAAACUCAAAGGACUUGGCGGUGCUUUAUACCCUUCUAGAGGAGCCUGUUCUAUAAUCGAUAAACCCCGAUAAACCUCACCAUUCCUUGCUACUACAGUCUAUAUACCGCCAUCUUCAGCAAACCCUAAAAAGGUACAAAAGUAAGCACAAUCAUAAUACAUAAAAACGUUAGGUCAAGGUGUAACCUAUGGAACGGAAAGAAAUGGGCUACAUUUUCUAAUCUAAGAAAAUCCAACACGAAAGUUAUUAUGAAACUAAUAACCAAAGGAGGAUUUAGCAGUAAACUAAGAAUAGAGUGCUUAGUUGAAUUAGGCCAUGAAGCACGCACACACCGCCCGUCAC